UUUCCACUGUAUAGAUGAAGAACUAGAUUAGUCACAGUUAAGUGAUUUGCUCUGUAUCACAAAGUUGCAUAUAGAGCACAGAAUCCCAGUCUCUGGACUCCAAGUCUUUGACCUUCCAUUUUCUCUGAACUAAUCUCAGAUAUCACAUGCCCUUUACUUUAAAAGUUAAAUAAGCUUUGAAAUGUUUUACAAAUUUAGGCAGAGACAUUUUAAAUGUGUAUUCAAAACACAAAAUGUUAGUUUUUUUAAAUGUCUAAUAGUCACGUGAAUAAGACAGUAUAUCUGAGUUUCAGGAUGAACACAUACAAUGAAAUCAUGUGAUUUUUGUUAAAUACUAUAACAGUUAACGUUUAACACAUCACUACACUAUUCUCUCAUGCCCCACGGUGUUCCUCAAGAUGAUUCCAGGCAAAAUUACAGAAAACAUCGCUCUCGUAAGUCUUUCCAGUGCUUCCUAUCUAACAAUAGAAAAGAAUGGGCUCUUUUUGCCUGUUAUUAUUAAUAACACUAGUGUUUCCUUCCUAUACUGUACUAUUUCAAUUACUAUAAUCUAAUAAAGAGAGCACGGUGGUUGAUUUCUAUAUAGGGAUUAUGACUCAGUAUUAACUCACUUCUAAUUGUAUUCAUAACAUUGGUUACGUUCUCCAAAUAUAUUUUUGGUUAAUGGAAACGGCUAGUUCUGUUAUACCCUUUCCUUAACUUGCUCAGAAAGUAUAAAAUAUACCAAAACAAUCAUUAAGGGAACUGACCAGCAACACUGAAUUGGCCAGAGGGUGGGACCGCUGCCCUGGACAACUAUCAGUCUAUUCUCUCAAUUCAACCAACACUAUGAACACCCUGGAACCCCUUGGGACUCAAGAGUACUGGUUUCUGAUCCUAGAAGCUUUCAUAGCGGGGAAAGGACGGUUCUGUUCUGAUGAGAGCUGGUGCUGUGGAGUGGUCUAGCGCCAUUCUUGGAGAGCUGUACGCAAAGUGGGAAGCAAUCAGUGGACACAAAUCUGAUGACGGGCCUGGAGAUCAUGUGAGAAGAGACACAAUUCAAGCACCGAGAACACUUCUGCGAUUCUUCAGGGCCUCUAAAGCCUCUGGACCCUCCCUCUCAGACACUUGCCAUCAUGCACUCGGCCAUCCCCACCUUAUUUAUGAGAAGAAUGCCAGUGAGAACAUGGAGUGGGGGC